rnacentral:rRNA from 1 species
UAAUGAGACUGCCGGUGACAAACCGGAGGAAGUGGGGAUGACGUCAAGUCCUCAUGGCCCUUAUGGUAGGGCUUCACACGUCAUACAAUGGUCGGUACAGAGGGUUGCCAACCCGCGAGGGGGAGCUAAUCCACAAAGCCGAAUCGUAGUCCGGAUCGCAGUCUGCAACUCGACUGCGUGAAGUCGGAAUCGCUAGUAAUCGUGGAUCAGCAUGUCACGGUGAAUACGUUCCCGGGUCUU